CUGGCUCAGGACGAACGCUGGCGGCGUGCCUAACACAUGCAAGUCGAACGGUUUUCGAGGUUCGACAUUCGAGGUUCGAAGUUCGAGUAAAAGCAAAUCGAACUUCGAAUUUCGAACGUCGAACUUCGAGAAUAGUGGCGCACGGGUGAGUAACGCG
rnacentral:rRNA from 1 species